UACGAAGGGGCUAGCGUUGUUCGGAAUCACUGGGCGUAAAGCGCACGCAGGCGGAUUGAUAAGUCAGGGUGAAAUCCCGGGCUCAACCUCGGAAUUGCCUUUGAUACUGUCUGUCUUGAGUCCGGGAGAGGUGAGUGGAAUUCCUAGUGUAGAGGUGAAAUUCGUAGAUAUUAGGAAGAACACCAGUGGCGAAGGCGGCUCACUGGCCCGGUACGUGAC
rnacentral:rRNA from 1 species